rnacentral:rRNA from 1 species
AGAAGUUUUCGUAGUCCUGGCUCAGGAUGAACGCUGGCGGCGUGCUAACACAUGCAAGUCGAACGGGGACAGACGGAAACCUAGUGAAGUCUGUCCGAGUGGCGGACGGGUGAGUAACGCGUGGAUAACCUGCCGCAUGCAGGGGGAUACCGGCUGGAAACAGCCGCUAAUACCGCAUAAGCGCACGGUGCCGCAUGGCAGAGUGCGAAAAGGAGAAAUCCGGCAAGCGAUGGAUCCGCGUCCGAUUAGCCAGUUGCGGGGUAAGGGCCCGACCAAAGCGACGAUCGGUACCGCCGGCCUGAGAGGGCGGACGGCCACAUUGGGACUGAGACACGGCCCAGACUCCUACGGGAGGCAGCAGUGGGGGAUAUUGCACAAUGGGGGAAACCCUGAUGCAGCGACGCCGCGUGGGUGAAGAAGUAUUUCGGUAUGUAAAGCCCUAUCAGCAGGGAAGAAAGGAGACGGUACCUGACUAAGAAGCCCCGGCUAACUACGUG